rnacentral:lncRNA from 1 species
AUGGUAAUGCGGGCCGGGGGGGGGGGGGGGGGGGGUGGCGGGAGGAGGCGCAGAGAGGAGGGAAGGAUGGGGGUGAGGGCGGGGUGGGAGGGGGCUCCGGCACCGCGCGCUCGUUUGCCGGGCUGGGACAGAGCACCCGGACCCACGGUGGCAGCGGCAGCGGCGCUACCCACCCUCCACCACAACAUCCACCGAAUUCGCGAGCCACCGAGCCAUCGGCCCCCGGGACGCCGAAAGGAGCCUGUUUUUGUACUGCGAUCGUCCUGUGACUCUGGAUCUUGUCUUCUGGCUGGCGCCUCAAUUCCUGCCAGCUGGAUUGGGGGGGCGACACUGCCUGGCGCAGGGACAGAGCGAAUGAGACUACAAAGAAGCAUAAAAUGAAUAGACAAUGCAACCAACCAAAGACCCGGGGCAGCAGCACGCCUACAGGACGGCAUCUUCUCCUCCCCAGCCUAGAAGCCCGGUGAAAUCGAGGAUCUUCCCCCCUAAAACACACACACACAAGAUAUAUGCAAUCAAGCUGCCACCGCUUGGUUAAAAAGCUCAUGGUGCCUAACCCAAAAGGAUCCGGAGCAGGUCCUUGAAUCAGCUGUCUCUUCUUCUAUAGAAUGGGAUGUUUUUUGUAUAUAUUUUUUUCCUUCCUCCUAAACCUGCGCUGGAAAUUGCCGUUGGCUUUAUACAUCUCUAUAGAGGGAGGCUAAAGAGUCUGGCGUGAGAAUGAAGCAAUUUACAAUGCAAAUAGAGGCCUGUGGAGGGACGGAUGCUGCUGCUCACUCGUAACCGCUUGCUGCACCUUAAUAGCUGGUUUUAUUUUCUGAUAUUAAUAGAUGAAUUGUUGCCUAACGCUGCCGGAGAUUACUUGCUGAAAGGAAAAAAAAAAGUUCGGAAUAAACUUUGAAAGCAACGGCUCUCGUUUGGAUGUUUUAGCCGCACACACAAACAGAAACCAGGUCAAAUUUACAUACAAGGAGGAAUCUUGGGCUCGGCCAGUAUCUUGGAGGACUACUCUUCGGUACUGCCAGAAAGAUCCGGAUCUAGAGUCUGGCCUGAAGAAGACAGAGGCUGUGAGGGAAGCGAGUUGUUAUCUUUGGUUAUCUAGCUGUAUGAGUGUAUUGGUCUUCAUAAAGCUAGAUAACCGAAAGUAAAAACUCCUUCAAGAUCGCCCGGAGCGUGUGAGAACGAACUACAACCAAGAGACAGUAAAAACCGGAAAGGUCAGGAAUACUUAUUGAAUCUAACUUUGUUUUUGUGUUUGUUUUUUCCUUAUGAUGGAAGGUGGGAUUAGAGGAAAGUAAGUGACACAUUUGUGCCAAAACAUAAAGGUGAGGCUAUUUUGAGAGAGGUUGUUAUGCCGGUGUAUUUUGUCCUACUUUAAGGCCAAAGUUAUAUAUAUAUAUAACUUUUUUUAUAUUUUUUUCUUAGAAAGUUGUUGUAGAGAUGUCUUGUACCUAGUUUGAAAAUGAUUCCAUAAGUAUACAGACUUAGGCUGUUCCCUUCCCAGGCCCCUCCCAUGAAAAUUUUAAAUAUUAUGCUUGGAAACUGCAUGUAUGUGGGUUGUAUGUCAAAUUACAUGAAAUUAGACUUUCAGAAAAGUUUAUAAUGAAAGGUUAAUUUGUAUCUACUGAGGACAUAGAGCUAGAAGGAAAAUGAAAAAAAAAAAAAAAA